AGACGUUCCUAGAAGGAUGCUUGGGAAAGGAGUCUGUUGCUCUCUGUGACCAGAGAGCUGCUGCCACACUCAUCCACUUCUAGCCAGCCCUGCACUAAACUUAGAGGUUCAGAACACCUAGAGACAAAUGAGAUGGAAAAAGGCCUCUGUGACACAAGUCCCUGCUGGCCCUGACUGUACAAGCAGGAAGAGACCUAGACAGAAGCCUUGGAGGCAUUUGAUUUCCCUUAGCCCAAACUUCAACUUCAUCUCCUACUGGACCCUUCCAAAGCCCAUGCUGCCUGUCCAUCUGCCAUUUCAGAUGUUAGUCCAUGCAGGAAUGCUGAGUGAGCCACAGUAUUUGCUCUGUUCUUGUUCCAUUGAACAUCUUGUUGUGUAUAAUUCUGCUGCUUGGUUUGUUUCUCAAUGGUGUUAAGAUUAGGCAGUGGAGGAGUUUCUGACAACUGUAAAAACCAUGUCUAAUGGUUUUGUCAAACUGAAGGUUACAAAUUUUAGUACCUUACUACAACUUUCAUUGCAAGUACUUAAAUGCACUCUGAACCUGUAAAUUUUCUUCAUUGUUUCUUGGCCUUGAGCCUGUAUUUUGUUAGACAGGGCAUGCAGCAUGGAGUCCUCUGGAACCACUGCAAGCUAGAUGCACACACCCUUGCAACCUUGCGCAUGGAAGAGCUUGGGGUAUUUGAAUACAUAUUGGGUCCUAUGCAUAAUUUAUUAUUUCAGUGUAUUUCCCAAAGGCUGUGCAGUUAUUUUGGGGGAGGGAAUAAAGGGAGUAUUGCUGGGUUAUUUUCCUGACAGAAUGUUGUAUGAAACUCCAGAGAGCUAUUUUAAACAUAUGAUAAAUAUAAAACUGGACUAAGAGGUACUUUGAAUGAGACAUUUUUUGGUGAAAAUUCUUUUGAUAUCAAGCCACAUAAAUAUUGAGAACUUCAUAAUGAAUUUAGUUGCAGAGAUUUUGAUGGGCAUUUUAAUAUCAAAGUAAAUUGCUAUUAGAAGGAAAAAUUAAAUGCUUUCCAGCUAUGAAACACUGCAAUGAAUAUAAAUUGUGGAGAUAUUGGGAAUGGUUGUUGCACAGCAAGACCAGUCUUAAAAGAGGAAAGAAAUCUUGAUUGUAAUAAUUGUGUUUGUAAAACAAGAAAGACAACACAAAAUUUUCAAGUAAUAUGCAGAAUUAGUAAAAUGUUCUUGCAGGAACAUUUUACCAGGAAAAAAGGGAAAUAUUCUAUUCCAGAUAGGGAGAGGAAAAGCAUUACUUGACUCACAAAUCAUCUGGAGGAACAUUUAUGUUCUCUGUCAAAUAUAUGUAAAUUAAACCAUAUUUUAAAUAUUUUCAUGGCCAGAUAGAACAUGUCUCAAGGGCAAUCCAAGGAAGGAGAACAUUUGAUAAGCACAUGUAGCUCUGGGCAAAGCUCUGUGCGUUCCCACACAUCUGUGAUGCCAGUGAGCUCUGCACCAUGCCACAUGUUUUUUUCCUUCUCCUUAAGCUCUGAAUCAAAUCCUUUUGAAAUCAGUAGAGUUCUGUCUAUAGACUUCAAAGAUGAAGCGCUGUGGAGAAAGUGCAGGUCAGGAUUCAUUUCCUUUUGCUUUCCUUUUCCCUUAGUUUCCUUAAUUUCAGAAAGGCAUAUGCUAUAUUGCAUCUGUUCUCAUACAGUCCUGGGCCAUGAGCCACCAGAGCCUGGCAUCAUGUCAUUGGGCUGUCAAAACAGGGAGGAGCACAGUUCUUCUUCUCUUCUCCUGGCUCCUUUAGUGUCUGGCUCCUUCCACCAGAGCUUUUUUCCCUUCUCAUGAUAUAGAAGAAAGUAUGUGUCAUCUUAAUGAUAUUAUUUUAUGGUAUUCUGGUUUUCAGCUGUGAGAUGAACAUCAGAUGCUUACAUGCUCUCUUUACCCACCCACAAUGUGUGUGCAUGCAUAUAAAUUCAUACUGUACCAUUGCUGCUAUAAAAUUUUUCAGAAUUUA